AACUACUACUGCAGGACCUUCCACAACAGCACCACAAACAACAUCUACAGCAGUAACUUCUGUGAUUCCCACUUCAAUCACUACUGAAAGCACCACUGUCAGCACAGCCACAAUAUCCACAACGCCAACAGCUACAACAAAAGGGCCCUCAGCUACAACUACAAAAUCUGCACCUGUGUAUCUAACAGAUCUGGUGUUCCGCUCUUUAGACAACUUUAAUGUAGAACUCAGUGACCCAAACUCUCAGACCUUCAAGAACAGGGCUCAGCUUGUCAUAUCUCAGCUUGAACCAAUCUACAAAGCAAAAUAUUUUUCCUUUAUUGGAGUGAAUGUCUUGCUUUUCAGACAAGGGUCAGUAAUCACGGAAACACAGCUAGCUUUCAACUCCACACAAGCUAUUCCAACUGUUCAAGAGAUUUCAGACACCCUCUUUACAGCAGUGAUAAACGGAAGUGUCAACCCACUGAACAUAACUCCUUAUUCAAUUUCAGUCAACGGUUCGAGUAAGUUUGCUUGCAUUUCAGAAAACAUCUUGCAAAUUCCGA
ensembl:lncRNA